rnacentral:rRNA from 1 species
UACGUAGGUGGCAAGCGUUGUCCGGAUUUACUGGGCGUAAAGAGCGCGCAGGCGGUCGAUUUAGUCGCGUGUGAAAGCCCCCGGCUCAACUGGGGAGGGUCACGCGAUACUGAUCGACUCGAAGGCAGGAGAGGGUAGUGGAAUUCCCGGUGUAGUGGUGAAAUGCGUAGAUAUCGGGAGGAACACCGGUGGCGAAGGCGGGUUGCUGGGCUGAUACUGACGCUGAGGCACGAAAGCGUGGGGAGCAAACAGG